GGAGAGGUGGCAGAGUGGUUGAAUGCACUGCACUCGAAAUGCGGCAUACGGGCAACCGUAUCUGGAGUUCGAAUCUCCCCCUCUCCGCCA
rnacentral:tRNA from 1 species